CGACCCUAACCUUCGCCGCUACGGCUCAAGACAGAGGAAGAGCGCAGCGUUCAUCUGGUUCCCAAGCGAAGGGGCAAUGAAGUCGGAGAAGAUUGUUUUCGUAGCCAUUGUGAAAAUCAAGAACGAGUGGUUCAGAUUAACCUCCCGUCCAUGGACUGUUUACAACCCGCCAUCCUUCUGGCAAACAUUCAAUCAGCAGAUGACACAAGUACAGCGCGUGAAGGCGCGAAUGGCGCAGGCUGAAAGACAAGCCGCUGCAGCCGAGGCACAGGCCGCUGCAGGUGCCGCUGCAUAGGAAUCCACCGUCUUCUUUGACAUUCGGAACAGGUCGAAGGAUUACCGGAGCCAUAAGAAGUAACGAGUGCGACCGGAAUUAUCCGAAUGUAUCACACGAUGGGAAUCGGACACAACUGAAUGACAAUCAAUGACUAGGAACACUGAUAAAUUCAAUCUCAUAACCGUUCCAUGGAAUUUCAAUGGUUGGUUAUGCUGUGGAAAUAAACUUGAAAUGUA